rnacentral:rRNA from 1 species
CUUCUUAGAGGGACUAUCGAUGUGCAGUCGAUGGAAGUUUGAGGCAAUAACAGGUCUGUGAUGCCCUUAGAUGUUCUGGGCCGCACGCGCGCUACAAUGCUAGGUUCAACGAGUCCUGACUUGCCCGAGAGGGCUGGUUAAUCUUCUGAAAUCCUAGCGUGCUUGGGCUUGCCUCUUGCAACUAGAGGCACCAACGAGGAAUUCCUAGUAGACGCAGGUCAUCAACCUGCAUCGAUUACGUCCCUGCCCUUUGUACACACCGCCCGUCGCUCCUACCGAUUGGUCGUCCCGGUGAAAAGUCGGGAGGGCGUGUUCCUGGCCAGCAAUGGUCUGAGCGCGCCCGAACUUCCUUAAAUUUGGUCGACUAGAGGAAGGAGAAGUCGUAACAAGGUUUCCGU